rnacentral:lncRNA from 1 species
UCAAAUUAGGUCGAAAACCGUCAUUUCAAGAGGCAUUCUUGUCAACUCAUACGCCGUUAAAUGAUAGAGGAAAAACUAUGAUGGUGAGUGAUUAUUUAUUAAUUAUUCAUAAUAUAUUUAUUUUUUCUUAAUUCUUUCAUAUUUGAUUUUCGUAAAGGCCGAAUAUGAAAAUUUGAAUGAAAAACUUUGAAGACAAGAAGACAGUGAUUCUGAUUCUGAUGACGAUAGUAAAGAUGAAAAUUUAUCGUCUCAAGGUUCAACUACAUUUCAUACGAAGCCUCUGUUUAAAAACGAUCAUAUUGGACCUUGGCUGAAAACAUCAAAGGGAAAGAAAAAUGGGCGCAUUCUGGGAUUUAGAGUUGGCAAUGACUCUAUGUUAUCAAAUAAGAGGAGAAAGAAAAUGAGCAAUGAGGAAACUGAGAAGCACAACACUGAAGAAUUUGAAUUGGCAGUUUCCAAAGCCGUUGAAAAACGAAUGGAAGCGUUCGAAAUAGAAAACGAAAAACGAUUUCAAAUGAUGGAACAACGGUUAAUUGACAAUAUACAUGUGAGUUUAAUAAAUGUUUUUAAAUUUAUUAAUUUUUGAAUAUCUUCAUUUAUUUUCAGGCUAAUGUUACAAGCAACGACCCAAAUCGUCCAUCAUCGAGUAAUGUUCCUGUUUUUUCUCAGUUGAACCAACUUAUUCAAUUAUCGAGAAAUUAUUGGGAAGAAGAUACUACUUUGAAUUCGACACCUCGACCAAAAGGUAAGACUUUAGAUAUUUCCAAUAUUGUUCAACAAAAAAAAUUGUAAAACACUUACCUCUAUUGUAAUUGAAACACU